rnacentral:rRNA from 1 species
ACCAGACUCCUACGGGAGGCAGCAGUCGGGAAUAUUGCGCAAUGGAGGAAACUCUGACGCAGUGACGCCGCGUAUAGGAAGAAGGUUUUCGGAUUGUAAACUAUUGUCCACAGGGAAGAAAAAAGACUGUACCUGUGAAGAAAGCUCCGGCUAACUACGUGCCAGCAGCCGCGGUAAUACGUAGGGGGCAAGCGUUAUCCGGAAUUAUUGGGCGUAAAGAGUACGUAGGUGGCAACCUAAGCGCAGGGUUUAAGGCAAUGGCUCAACCAUUGUUCGCCCUGCGAACUGGGAUGCUUGAGUGCAGGAGAGGAAAGCGGAAUUCCUAGUGUAGCGGUGAAAUGCGUAGAUAUUAGGAGGAACACCAGUGGCGAAGGCGGCUUUCUGGACUGUAACUGACACUGAGGUACGAAAGCGUGGGGAGCAAACAGGAUUAGAUACCCCUGUAC